GCUGGAAUGGCCGAGUCGUUAAGGCGAGUGAUUUGAAUUUACAAUAUCACUUGGUGUUUCACCGCGUAGGUUCAAAUCCUGCUUCCAGCG